AAUAUAGAAGACGGCGCGCUAGCGUGUCUAGUCUAUGUACAUCUAUGGUCGGCACGUCUGGUAGCAGCUCUGGCUGCUGUUGACCUUGUUUUUGGACUAAAACACGGUGGAAGCUGAAUUAGUGAGGAUGACUCCUGCUCCUGUCAUCUCUAAGCUCCUCACACAUCUUUACCUGCACAUGAGGAAAAUCACUCCUGUAGAAUGCAGAUGUUCAGAGGGAGAUGAUGCCACAUCUGGUCCAGCUGAUGGAAGGUCUUGAAGUUCUCUGACUGGCCUCGACUGAAGAUGGUCCUCUCACUGGAUUUAAGGUUCAGAUGCUCAGUAACAAACUCCACCAAUGAGCCAACAGGGAAGCUUUAGGUUUAUUAAAUGUUGCUAUGAAGGUAUCGCUGUUUUUCUUUGUGAAUGCAAUGUGCUCCAACUGAAACUUGAAUUAGAACUUAGAAGUAAAUCCUUCCAUCUGAAAGGAUCUAGUUGCAUUAAUAACCUCAUAACAUUUUAAUUUUUAUUCCAGUCUUGGUUGAAAAUAGAAUCUCUGUAUUGAUUCAGGUAAAAACUGAACUUCACAGCAUUUUGGAGCAAAACAACCAGAUGAAAACUAUGAUGGUGUUGGAUUGUCAGACCGUAAUGUUGCAGCUCAAAGCAGCUUUUCUAUCUCAGUUCAUUCUGACAUUCAGCUAUGAAUCAACACAGCAGAUGGUGAUCCAUGCUGUGGAAGUCUCACAUCUCCUGAUUUAAUGGAGCUGCUUUGCACUUUUUACACUGUUUAUUCACCAACACUUUAUUUAAUAAAAGUCCCAUCUAGUUUUUAUGAGGAAUGUGAUGUUUUAAUUUCUCUGUGAAUAACUGCAGUCUAAUGCAACAGCUGGAGUUGUAACAUCUGUCCUGAUAUUGAUCAUGAAAUAUUGAUCAGAAUACUUAUGGUCAGCAGUCAUCCCUGAAGUUUUACAUUAAAAUCUUUACUUGUGUUGUGAACUUUGGUAAGAAGCAGAAACUUUUGCGUUGCCAUGGAUACAUGAGUGUUAAAUUCUGUCCCUGUUUCCAUUUUGGGAAAUGCAGUCCAGUUCCAGAAUGUGGAGGAAUUUAGUCUCACAAUCAGACAAUAAAUAUUAUCUGAAAGUCGGGUUAUUGUUGUUUAUCAGCACAAUACAAAAAGAUUAAUGUUAGAAAUAUUCCAUUUAAGACUCUAGAAUAUCAUGAUUUAUGUAAAUUUAACUCAAUAAUAUGAAUGUUCAGGUUAAGAUUGUACAGUGAUAUUUAUUAUGCAAGUUUAGCUGAUUAAAGUUUAUGACUCUGCACUAAAAUAUUAUUUAAAUUGACAUAAUAUUUAGUGUCAGACCCUACAGUAUUGAGAUUAAGAAAUCAAAUAUUCUAUAAAAUGUAAAUACACUGAGCUAAUUUGGAUAUAUUUAAGUGAGACUCUACAAUAUUAUUUGACACAAAUCUAUCUAAAUCAAAAUUUUAAUAAUUUUCACACCAAACAUUUACUGGACUGAUUUAAACAUUAAAAUCACUCCUUUCUAAUCCUCUGCUGUACGUUCAAACCUGAGGCCUUAAAUAGAAACACACAAGUAUCUGAUUGAAGGAACUUCUGCAGAGUGCUGGUUCCAGAACAUGAUCAUAGAAUUAUAGACAAACUUUAACAAAAGCUGCCUUAGAGUUUACAAGUUUUUAUCUUAGAUUUCUUCAGUAAUUUAAUGAGUUAUCAGCAAAAAUCAAGUGUUCAUUUGAUGAACUUGAUUUCCUAAAACAUCCAGAAUUGGAGCUCAUAUCUUUGGCAACUGUAAAGUUUCUGCUCCUUCAAAGUUCACAACACAAUGAAUGAAUUCCUAAAACACUCUCAAUGCUGGAGAGUGUUUGUGAUGCUGAAGCAGUGACCAGUUUUUCUGUUUCUUCUCUGGAGAUGCACAAUGAGGGACGUCUGCAGAGACUGAGAAAGAGUCUCACCACAUCCUUACAUGAGGAAAAAGACUUUAUUGAAGACUACAAUGAGAAAAACUAUCAGACAACAGACGGCUGCAUUCAAGAGAGGAAGACCAACAAACAUCCACGUCAGCUGAUGGAGGUCCAAGAGUCUCACCAAACAAACAACCUACAGAGUGAAGACCUCAAAUCUGAUUGGACGGCCUCCUAUUCAGCCACAUGUGUGAACAAAUGCCUCUAAGCUGAUUUGUUUUCUAAAAUAAAUCUAGUUUGAG
ensembl:lncRNA